GCACAUGCAUGGUAUAUUUGGAAACAGAGCGCCUACGGGUCUGGCUGGCGCCAUCAUUGCAUUGUGGCUUGAUUGGCAUUGUGGUCUCUUUCAUUUGUGGUAUAAGAUCCCUCCUCUCCCCCCACGAGACACACCAUCAAGACAUGGACAGUGUGAAACACUUCGUUCUAGUUCACGGGGCUUGCCAUGGAGCUUGGUGCUGGUACAAGCUUGUCCCACUGCUCAAAUCCUUUGGUCACCGCGUCACCGCUCUGGACUUGGGCGCUUCUGGGGUUAACCCCAAGCGCCUCGACGAGCUUGCUUCUGUGUACGAUUAUGUGCAGCCACUGAUGGAGUUCGUGGCCUCCCUUCCUCAAGAUGAGAAGGUGGUGUUGGUGGGUCAUAGCUAUGGAGGCCUCGCUAUUUCUCUGGCUAUGGAGAGCUUCCCUGAGAAGAUCCUGGUUGGGGUCUUCGUAUCAGCUUAUAUGCCAAAUUAUAUAUCCCCACCUGUAACUCUCGCAGAAGAAGUGAGCACAAUCAAUCUUUGAUCAAACCCUAAUCUGCUCAACAUACACAUCAUUGAAAUUCUAUUUUUUAUACUGAUUUUGUGCUAUAUAUGAUUUUGGACAAACCAGUUCUUCAUCAAUAGAAGCAAGCCUGAGUCACUACUGGAUACCCAGCUUUCGUUUGGCCAAGGACUGGAGAGCCCUCCAACAGCACUGACCUUUGGUCCAGAUCACUUAUCAGUG
rnacentral:lncRNA from 1 species